AUGUAUAACAAGUUCAUGUUCAAGAUAGGAAUCCUCCUCAGCCACGCAAAAUAGAAGAUGCUGCACCAGUCAACAAUGCAUAUGGGACCCACCGAGGUUGGGUCGGAGUUCCGUGAAUGGUUGUUUUUAUUUGACAGUUUCCUAGGCCCAGAAGCAAAAGGAGAGUAGGACCAAGUUGAGAAACACAUUUUCCAUGGUAUUGUUGUCCUAUCGCCGCCGUAAAAGGUCCUAAACACAUGAUAAAUGCAAUAUCAACCAAUCCUCCAAAGUUUUAUGCUGUUA